rnacentral:rRNA from 1 species
UACGGGGGGUGCGAGCGUUGUCCGGAAUUACUGGGCGUAAAGCGCACGUAGGCGGCUUUGUAAGUUAGAGGUGAAAGCCUGGAGCUCAACUCCAGAAUUGCCUUUAAGACUGCACGCUUGAAUCAUGGAGAGGCGGGUGGAAUUCCGAGUGUAGAGGUGAAAUUCGUAGAUAUUCGGAAGAACACCAGUGGCGAAGGCGGCCCGCUGGACAUGUAUUGACGCUGAGGUGCGAAAGCGUGGGGAGCAAACAGG